rnacentral:rRNA from 1 species
AUUGAACGCUGGCGGCAUGCCUUACACAUGCAAGUCGAGCGGAGUGAUGGUGCUUGCACUAUCACUUAGCGGCGGACGGGUGAGUAAUGCUUAGGAAUCUGCCUAUUAGUGGGGGACAACAUCUCGAAAGGAAUGCUAAUACCGCAUACGCCCUACGGGAGAAAGCAGGGGAUCUUCGGACCUUGCGCUAAUUGAUGAGCCUAAGUCGGAUUAGCUAGUUGGUGGGGUAAAGGCCUACCAAGGCGACGAUCUGUAGCGGGUCUGAGAGGAUGAUCCGCCACACUGGGACUGAGACACGGCCCAGACUCCUACGGGAGGCAGCAGUGGGGAAUAUUGGACAAUGGGCGCAAGCCUGAUCCAGCCAUGCCGCGUGUGUGAAGAAAGCCUUAUGGUUGUAAAGCACUUUAAGCGAGGAGGAGGCUACUUUAGUUAAUACCUAGAGAUAGUGGACGUUACUCGCAGAAUAAGCACCGGCUAACUCUGUGCCAGCCGCCGCCGUAAGAC